rnacentral:rRNA from 1 species
UACGAAGGGGGCUAGCGUUGUUCGGAAUACUGGGCGUAAAGCGCGCGCAGGCGGUUCUUCAAGUCAGAGGUGAAAGCCCAGAGCUCAACUCUGGAAUGGCCUUUGAGACUAGAGAACUAGGGUACGGGAGAGGUGAGUGGAAUUCCGAGUGUAGAGGUGAAAUUCGUAGAUAUUCGCAAGAACACCAGUGGCGAAGGCGGCUUACUGGUCCGGUUCUGACGCUGAGGCGCGAAAGCGUGGGGAGCAAACAGG